rnacentral:rRNA from 1 species
AUGGGAGAAACAAAUAAUGCAAGAGCUGAUGGUGGAGUCAAGGGUGGAGAAGAGGAAGAGAAAGGCAGGAAGAAGAUGACCAAGGGUGGUAAGGCGUCGUUCCAUGACCUGUUCAAGAACGCGGACGCCACUGAUGUGGUGCUGAUGCUGGUUGGCACAGUCGCCGCGCUUGCGAGCGGCAUGUCACAGGUGGUCAUGUCGAUCAUCUUCGGGCGGAUGGUAGAUGCCUUUGGAGGUGCCACCCGGGGCACCAUCCUUCCCCGAGUUGACAAGGUGGUUCUAGAGUUUGUCUACUUAGCAAUUGGAACAUGGCCUGCUUGUUUUCUCCAGAUAUCAUGCUGGACCGUGACUGGGGAGAGGCAGGCAGCUCGCUUUCGAUCUUUGUAUCUCAAGUCGGUUUUGAGACAAGACAUGGCAUUCUUUGAUACAGAAAUCAAAGGUGGACAGGUAGUGUUCGGUACAUCUGCUGACACAAUACUAAUUCAAGAUGCGAUUGGUGAGAAGGUAGGGAAGUUUCUACAGCUUCUUACCACUUUCAUUGGUGGGUUCACGGUGGCAUUUAUCAAAGGCUGGCUCCUAACCCUUGUAAUGCUUUCUACUAUACCACCACUAAUCGUUGCAGCUGCAAUCGUCUCAAAGAUGCUUUCCAAAGUAUCUAGCGAGGGCCUAGCAUCAUACAUCGAUGCAGGAAAUAUUGUAGAACAGACAAUUGGAUCCAUAAGAACGGUGGUUUCAUUCAAUGGCGAAAAGAAAGCAAUGGACCAGUACAACAAUCUCAUAAAGAAGGCAUACAAGGGUACGAUCAAGGAAGGGGCUAUUCAAGGUUUUGGCCUGGGUUUCCUUUCUUUGGUCUAUUUCUCCAGCUUUGGACUAAUUGUAUGGUAUGGCAGUAAGUUAACCCUUGACAGAGGAUAUAGUGGAGCAGAUGUCAUGAACAUAUUGUUUGCUGUCCUUGUAGGAGCAAGAGCAUUGGGUGAUGCAACCCCCUGCAUUGCUUCCUUUGACGAAGGAAGAGUUGCCGCAUACAGAUUGUUUACAACAAUCAACAGGAAACCAGAGAUUGACUAUGAUGAUACUACUGGUGUUGUGUUAGAAGACAUCAAAGGUGAUGUAGAGCUGAGGGAUGUGUCUUUCAGUUACCCAAGCAGGCCAGAGCAACUAAUAUUUGAUGGAUUUUCAAUGCAUGUAUCAAGCGGCACAACAAUGGCCAUAGUUGGGGAGAGUGGGAGUGGCAAAACAACAGUCAUUAAUUUAGUUGAGAGAUUUUAUGAUCCACAGGCUGGCGAAGUGUUGAUCGAUGGAAUGAACAUCAAAAGUUUCAAGCUAGAAUGGAUGAGAGGGAAGAUUGGCCUUGUUAACCAGGAACCAGUACUCUUCAUGACAUCUAUAAAGGAGAACAUAGCCUACGGAAAAGAGGAUGCAACAUUGGAGGAGAUCAAGAAAGCAGCCGAGCUUGCAAACGCGGCAAGAUUCAUUGAAAAUUUGCCUAAUGGUUAUGAUACAGCAGUUGGACAACGUGGUGCCCAGCUUUCAGGGGGGCAGAAGCAAAGGAUUGCGGUUGCGAGAGCCAUCCUAAAAAAUCCGAAAAUCCUUUUGCUCGACGAAGCGACUAGUGCAUUGGAUUUAGAGUCUGAGAGGGUUGUCCAAGAAGCACUAAGCAACAUCAUGGUUGGGAGAACCACGAUUGUCGUGGCACAUCGUUUGAGCACUGUUAGAAAUGCCCACUGCAUAUCAGUUGUUUCUGGAGGAAAAAUAGUCGAACAAGGACAUCAUGAUAAAUUGGUAAAGGAUCCUGACGGAGCAUACUCUCAACUUAUUCGGAUACAAGAGACACACCAAGAAACUUGCGAGCAGUUAAAUGCUGGAUUAUCAAGCCCGUUAUCUAAAAGAAAUCAAGCACAAUCAAUUAGUACAAGUUCAGCUGGGAGCAGCCAUCAUUCUGUAAUUCCCCCUGUCAACUUGCCUGGCCCUACUGCAUUACUUGAUUAUGAUGGUGCAGAUGGUGAGAAAGCAAGCGAGAAAACAGAUGUCAAGGUUUCCAAGAAGGCCCCAAUGGGACGCUUAAUUAGCCUAAACAGACCAGAGACGGCAUUUCUUCUAUUUGGUUCUCUUGCGGCAGCAAUUGAUGGAACUGUCUACCCAAUGAUGGGUUUGGUAAUGGCUAGUGCUGCUAAAACAUUCUAUGAAUUACCAGCAGACAAGCGACAGGAAGAUUCUAUCUUUUGGGGAUUGCUGUGUAUUGGGCUGGGUGCAAUGGGUAUGAUAUCAAAGCUAGCAAAUAGCCUUCUAUUUGCAAUAGCUGGUGGGAAACUUAUAGAACGCAUUCGCGCUUUCACAUUUAAAAACAUAGUGUACCAAGAUGCUGCUUGGUUUGAUCAUCCUGCAAAUUCUAGUGGAGCACUUGGUGGAAGGUUAUGUGUUGAUGCCCUUAAUGUGAGACGCCUUGUAGGGGGUAACUUGGCCUUAAUAAUCCAAUGUACUGCAACACUUAUUUGUGGAAUAGUAAUAGCUAUGAUUGCAGACUGGAAGCUUUCGUUGGUCAUCUUAAUUGUAGUUCCUUUAAUGGGUCUCCAGGCUUAUGCUCAAGUGAAGUUCCUACAAGGGUUUAGUCAAGAUGCUAAGACCAUGUACGAAGAAGCAAGUCAAGUGGCAACUGACGCAGUUGGUAACAUGAGAACAGUGGCCUCUUUUUGUGCCGAGAAGAGAGUGGUGACAAAAUACAAUCAGAAAUGCCAAGCUUCUAAAAACCAAGGAAUUCGAACAGGAAUAGUUGGAGGCAUUGGUUUUGGUUUCUCAUAUACGAUGCUAUAUGUCACGUCUGCUCUAUGUUACUAUGUUGGUGCGAAGUUUAUUAGUCAAGGCAACUCCGAUUUUGGCGGCGUCUUCAAGGCUUACUUUGCUCUGGUUUUGGCCAUGAUUGGAGCAUCACAAACUAGUGCUAUGGCUUCUGAUUCAGCCAAGGCAAAUGAUUCUGCAACUUCCAUAUUCAAAAUCUUAGAUAGAAAAUCCCAAAUCGAUUCCAGCAGCGAAGAGGGUUCUACCAUGGAGCUUGUCAAGGGUGACAUUGAUUUUAUGCAUAUCAGCUUCAAAUACCCAUCCCGUCCAGAUGUUCAAAUAUUCAGCGAUUUCACCUUGAACAUUCCCUCUAGAAAGACUGUUGCGCUUGUUGGUCAAAGUGGCAGCGGCAAAUCUACAGUAAUUGCUUUACUAGAGCGUUUCUAUGAUCCAGAUUCUGGUGCGAUCUUAUUGGAUGGAGUGGAAAUCAAAAACCUAAAGCUGAGUUGGUUGAGGGACCAGAUGGGAUUGGUAAGCCAAGAACCAGUCCUUUUCAACGACACAAUACGAGCCAACAUAGCGUAUGGAAAGCAUGAAGAGGUAACCGAGGAAGAGAUUGCUGCAGCUGCUAAAGCAGCCAAUGCCCAUGAGUUCAUAUCGAGCAUGCCACAGGGGUACAACACGUCAGUUGGAGAGAGAGGGACCCAACUGUCCGGUGGGCAGAAACAGCGCAUAGCUAUUGCAAGGGCUAUUCUGAAGGACCCACGGAUACUGCUUCUGGAUGAGGCAACAAGUGCGUUAGAUGCAGAGUCAGAGAGCGCCGUUCAAGACGCAUUGGACCGCGUGAUGCUUGGGAGGACAACUGUCACCGUGGCACACCGCCUCUCGACGAUCCAGGGGGCUGAUAUAAUUGCAGUUCUGAAGGACGGCGCAAUCGUGGAGAAAGGAACGCAUGAGACCCUGAUGGGCAUCGCGGGCGGGGCAUAUGCUUCGCUUCUAGAACUUCGCCCCAAUGCAACAUAA